CUGAGUCUUCCUUACUUAGUUUUGGAAGCUGCAAAUGAAUUGGUGUACAGUACUGUGAUUUUCCCACAUUGAUUCUGACUUAAGACAAGAAGUGAGAUCAUCAUUGAAUAAGCACCUGACUGGGCAGGGGAGGAACAACUAGACUCAACCCAUUUCAGAGGCUUUCAAGCUUCCCACAUUCAGAAAUCCUUUCACUAUCAGGAAAGAGAGAAAACAAGGAAGGUGGAUGCUUCCCACACCAGGGUAUUGCAGUCACUUGCCCUGCAGUGCUUCAGAGGGGCAAACUCUGUAGGAGAAAUGUGAAAAUGCAAGGCUUUCGGCAGCCAACUUCUCCUUCCUGCUUCCGCUCACAAAGGCUCUUCAGUCAAAAUAGGAUAAAACAUUCUAAUAAGAAGACUCAAUUCUGAAAACCAAGAAACGGUCACUUCCUGAUGUGGAAAAGAUCAACCUGCUUGCAUUUUAUUUUGGACAGACCAUCCCUACUGAGGCAAAUAGGAAAACAGUAUAACUUCUGGCUGUGUGAAACAGGAAUAUAAAUAGUUAUUUUGCUGAACAGGAAGCUUUAGAAACCCUGGAAGGCUUAAAUGGUUCAGAGCAAUUAAAAAAAAAAUAGCAGAGGGCAUAGUUUGGACAUUUGUAUGCAUACUUUCUAGCAUAAUAAAAUAUGGUUGAAGUUAAGAUCGUUGAUAAAAGAGAUUCACCCUUUUCAGAGACUCAGUUUCAAAUAUCAGUUUGCUUAGGGCUCAAAGGUCAAACCAGCACUUCAAAUUACUCCCACAAGCAAAACAGUAACCAGGAAGCAAAAUUAUAAUCAGUGCAGCUGAUAAAAAGAUUGGUGUGACAUGAGUCACUCAGCCAGGUACUAGUGAAGACUGGGCCAUUGAAAUCUAGCCCAAAACUUUCGCAAAACUCUGUUCCUUGGAAACCAAUAUUCUCCAAACAAUUUGAAGAUGUUCUGUGUGGUGGUCCCAAUAUCUAAGCGAAGGGUAUUUGUGUUUGUGUGUGUGUGCGCAUGGUUUUGAAUCAGUUCCGUUUCAGAAGUCAAAGAAAUACCCUAACCAUGAAUUAAGAGAUCUCUCCUCAAAUGUCACCUGGAUAUGACUACAAAGAGGUGCAUCACUAGAAGACUUUUGGAAAAAAAAUUAAUUGAACCUGAACUUCUAAGUGAAGAGCUGUUGAAGACAUUACUACCUCUUCCUUCAAUAUAUCUUUAUAAAAGUAGCCUUUCAGCAUUCAUAGCAAUCAAGAUUACAUAUUGAAAUAGGCUUUAUUCAGGUGUGUCCACAAGGUGUAGUCAAAAACGUCAAGA